UGAAAGAAUGAGUAGCUGCGACAAGUUGGUAGCGAUGAGCUGAUGAAGAUGAAGAAGGUGGUUCAUAAAGGGGAUUACCUCGGGCAAGAGGUACAUCAAGCUGGUAUUUCAGGAAGCGAUUUCUCUAGCAGGAGAAGGGAUGAUACGGUAAAAGAAGUUGUAGGAUAAGGGAAAUUUGGUAUGCGUUCCCAUUUUUCCUUGCUCAUGCUUUGUUCUCCUUCUUGUUCUUGACCCAUAUGUCUCUGUUCAUUUGGCUCUUGAAGUACCUACGUAGCAAUCGCUUAUGAGGGUUGAAAAGAUUGGGUGUAUGAUAAAGUCAAUGGAUGGGACGACUGCGAGAUGUGAAAGGGUUGAAAACUGUAUGACAACGGCAAGGGCCGAGGACGACGUAGCGACAAGUGCCUCUCCUCAAGGCGAUGGCGGAUGCCAAUCCUCCUCAAAACCGAGAAGCCGGAAGUAGAAGUGAUGGGUGGAUGCACUGGAGAGUUGAGAUAAAGCAAGGCCGAAAGGGAGAAAGUGGGGGAGAGAAUGGCUGUAUUGACCCUCAACAACCCUUCUACCCCCACAUUUUUCGAAGAAUGGAGGCUGGAUGCUGAAAGAGGGACAUUAAGAAUGGUCGGCUGUCUCCUAGGUAUAAGGCUCUCUGUCCGAGACCGGAAUUCAAUAGCCGAAGUCCCUAAAAUGUGUACAUACUGUAAACCUUUUACAACUUUUAUGUUUGAAGGCGCACAUAACAAAGCUGUAAAACGCUAUCUUAUAGAUCUCAAUGCACAAAU
rnacentral:sRNA from 1 species